rnacentral:rRNA from 1 species
AAGCGUUGUUCGGAUUCAUUGGGCGUAAAGGAUGCGUAGGCGGUGCGGUAAGUCGGGUGUGAAAUCUCGGAGCUUAACUCCGAAACUGCAUUCGAUACUGCCGUGCUUGAGGACUGGAGAGGAGACUGGAAUUUACGGUGUAGCGGUGAAAUGCGUAGAUAUCGUAAGGAAGACCAGUGGCGAAGGCGGGUCUCUGGACAGUUCCUGACGCUGAGGCACGAAGGUCAGGGGAGCAAACGGG